rnacentral:misc_RNA from 1 species
UUUCCGUAGGUGAACCUGCGGAAGGAUCAUUCAUAAUAGGUGUUUUAUGGCACUUUUUUAAAUCCAUAUCCACCUUGUGUGCAAUGUCAGGGUUGAUUUUUCUCUCGAGAGGAUCAACCCCAAACAUCAACUAUAUCUCAACUCUUUGUCUGAAAAAUAUUAUGAAUAAAACAAUUCAAAAUACAACUUUCAACAACGGAUCUCUUGGCUCUC